GAUGAGCGAGCUACCCGACCGAGGGUCGUCUAAGUCGUCUGGUUACGGAAGUAUACAAGACGAGUCGAUGGAGGAGAAAGGAGAAAAGAGAUCUGAUGACUCAACUGCAAAACUGGCUGGCCCAUUCAAGAUAAGCGAGCUACGCUACCAAAAGUUUGAUUUAGAAAGAC